CCUAAAAGUGCUGUAACAGUUGCAUAUGUGUGAAUAUAAAAAGAGAUGAACUGGGACUGGUAUACCGUUUUCCCUUCUGUAUUCAAGCCCGGUGACAAUGAAGACCUUCUUGUUCGUCCUUUUGGUGGUUUUAUUCUUGUUGGCAAUUGGAAGUGCCUUAUCACCACCAGAAGCUAAAGCCCAGGGGUGUUGGUGGGGACAUUGUAGUGGGAGAAAGAGAGAGAUUUCGGAGGAUGCCGCCAGAGCAACCGUGGAAGACACCAAUCCUGACAACCCAGACUGUGGUUGGUGGGGGUGUGGUAAAAAAAGGCGGGAAAGAGAAAUCCAGAAAAAAAUCAUGCAAGCCAGGAGAGAAGCUGAGCUAAACGAAUAAUUAAAAUGUCGUUUUCUUCUUUGUAUGUUGGCAAAGAAUUUCCGAAGAGUUCAAUGUAAUAUAAAGCAAAGUAUUUGCUGAUUAAAAUUCAUGUUUGUUUUUC